UUUUUUUUUUUUUUUUUUGCAAAUGCUUCUCUGACUUUACCCGAACGGGACCUUGUGGCUUGAGUGCACUUACACGCCUCUAUUUCAAUGAUGCUGUUCCCAUGCAUGGCUGGUUAUCAAGCACUUUUCUCAAGUAAUAAGAAACAUUUUCCAGUGCUAUUUCUUUCCUUGCUUGUGAGUUUCUGACAAAUUUCUUAAAAGCUUUCCAUUGUGGAUGUGUGAGAUGAGAGGACAUUUGAUGGCAAUAAGAUGGAGGCAUCUUGGAAGAAUUUUAGUUAAACAGUUUGGAUGUUACUUUCUAGAUCUUUGACUAAAAAUGUUAUGAAUUGAAUGAGUUUGAGGAUAGGAAGCCUAAUAUAAUAACAACUUGUGGUGCAUAGACUCUAAGUGUUAACUGUGGCAAGCUUUGAAAGAAAGAUUGGAAGGGUUUAGGGAGUGGUAUCUGGGUGUGGUUGCAAGAGAAAGUGUGGACAUUAACAGACGCGAUUAGGGGUAGUGCGAGACAAAAACUACUCCAGGCAAUAGGAAAAAGUCAGCCACUUCAGUUAUGCAGACAGAAAGCUCACUGACCAGUGUCAAAUAAAAAGGAAAUUUGGACUGAAGGAAGAAGAUACUUUAUUUGAAAGGAUUAUUACAAGAGUGGUGAAAGGGAUGAUUAUAGGUGUAGGAAGAUAAUAGGGAGAUAGCUUCCACUAUGAGAUCUGGUAGGUCUCAAAAGUUAAGCAAAAGACAGAUUUUCUUUUACAGGGAGAGGUAAACAUGGCUGGAAUUCACCAAGUUUGGGGAGGUGGGUGAAGAAUGGUGGUAUGAUCAGACAGCAGAGAAGAGAAUGUUUUAUUCUGAAAUCAGCUUAUUCUCCAGAGGUUGUGUGUAAAGUUCAGCAGUCUAAGGGGAAGGAGAGAAUUUUGCAUUUUGUUCUGAUUGACCAAUUUGUCAUUUCUCAGGCCAAGAAUGGAAAUUUGAAGGAUCUGUGUUCUGGCCUUGUCAUAGGUAAAGGAGGGCAUCUGUUUCUUAUCUAAGUUUUGUGGGGACAUGUGUUUCUUUGCAGUAAGCCGUUUCACAGAACACAAACUAUGGGAGGAUUUAUUAACUUAUACUGUAUUCCAGGAUCACAGGGCGCUUGUGAAAUUCAACAUUGUCACCAGCAAUGAGAGAGUGCAGAAUAGCAGUUGGUGUCAGAGCACCAAGGACUAAAUGGAGAGUCUGGAGGGACAAUCAGAGCUUAGUGAAGGGGAGUCCCAGAACAGAUGGCAUGCUGAGCUCAGCCAGGCAGGCAGGCCUGCAAAACGUCUGCAUAAGGAAUAUUUAUCCCCAGCAGCAGGAGCUGAGGCAUGGGCUGGAAUUCAGAGACAAGACUUCAUUCCUCAGAGGUAAAAUGCUGAGAAUAAAUGGGCCCCAAAUCUCAAAGCUUAUAAGGUGAGUCUUGGUUUUGGGAACCCAGCAUUUCCAUUUAGAGUAACCAAGACGUCACCGAGAGCUGAAUUAACACAUUGGAGAUAUGUGGGAGAGCACUGAAAAUAACUCUUCUUCCCACCAGUGGAUGAAAUUGAUCCUAGACUCUGGAUCGUCAGUGUGGUCCAGCUCUUGUGGAAUGAGGGGAUGUGAAAAAAAAAAGGACAGAUGUUGGCACAUGGUAUCUUUAAAAAAGGGUCUCUUCUUAAAGAAAACCAAUUUAUUUUCAGCCUGAAUAAUAGCAUAGUACAUCAUGAACCUCUAUUAUUUCCAUACUAUAUUCUUUGGAAUUUCUUUUUGUUUUAUAGGUCAACAUCCUGAGUCUCAUAUGGGGAAAGCAUAGUUAAAUUUAGGAAGGAAAUAUAAUAUAAAUAGCUGUAUUAAAGGAUUGUAAGGCCUGAAAAAUUACAUGUCAAAAUUGGAAAUGUAAAAGUUAGGUUCUUUUAGGUUUCUCUCCUCUGGAAUUUCUUUUCUAUUUAUUUUGUGUUGAUAACAUUAAUGUUGAAUAUUGAAUUAUUUUUAUUCCACAUAUGGAGUAUAAUCUAUAUGCAAGAGGGAGACUUUUAUAAAUGAAUUGCAGAUGGUUUACCAUUUACUUGCCUUAAGUUACUUUAAAAUUGAAAAAAUAUCCAAGAAGUGCUGAUAAUAUAUAAAUAUAAAGGCUGUCCUCUUUUUCAAAACAAGAAAAAUCUUGUUUUGUUUUGUUAAUUCACAAGAAUAUUUGUAAAAAUUUUAUGUGUGUGAAGAAAACAUAUUAUUUUCCCAACCUCCUGUAACAGUUCCCAAAGAUGAAUUUAAAUGUUGCAAUACCCCAGAACUGCUCUCUAUAUCUGGUCUAGUAAGUCCUGAGUUACGUUAUUUAAAUUUGAAAUGUUUAUACAGGACGCGGAAUGGUAUUUCACAAGAUUGCUCUGCUGAAUGCUGUCUCAUAUCACUUAGUUGUAAUUAUAGUAUAACCCUUAUCCUGGUAUGCCAUGUAUGUGUAUGUGUGUGUGUGUAUUUGUGUGUGUGUGUGUGUGUGUGUGUGUGUGUGCCUAUAGAUGUUUCUACUUUUUACAUCAGGGUUAGAUGCCUUAGGGGAUAAUAGUUGUAGCCUGUACCUCUUUGACUACCCUAUAGUUCUUAAAAAUGGCGUCUCAUACAUGAUCAGCAUUCAAUAUAUAUUUGGCAAUUUAAAACCUAAAUCUUAAAGUGAAGUGUCAUCCUUUUAAAUCCUUAUGCAUUCCAGCCAAUUUCUAAAACUACAGAAUGCAAUACUUAGAAUGUGUCUAGACACGUGCAUGGACGUCAAAGAGAUGCUUAAUGAAGGGCUGUCUCUUUAGACCAUGAGCACAGUCUACUCUCUGACCUCUCUUCCCCCUGGUCUCAGUCUCCAUGUACUUCCCACAAGAUGCAGUCCAAAGAGCUUCCCUAGAGUAGAGGUCUGACCUCUGUCAAAUUGGCUAUUAUCUCCCACUUUCUCCCCCAUGUGCCCAAUGCUUCAGUCAUCCUUAGCCACAGGCAGUUGCUCAAAUGAGCCGCACUUUUUAAGUCUCGGUGCCUCUGUACACACUGUUCCCUCUUCCUGUUGUGCCUCAACUCAUUGUCCCGGUGAAUUUCUACCCAACACUGGGCAUUUUCUCCGACUUUCCCAGGUAAAGUUGGCCAUUGUCACCCUUGCAACCUUGCUAGACCUUGUAUUUACCUCCGUUUCACAUCAGUUCUUCCAUGAUGAAUUUAUCUGUUCCUGUUCCUGUCUACUCCAACACACAAGAACUAUUUGAGGGGAGGGAUCCAUUCUUAUUCCAGUUUGUAUUCCCCGUGUUUUUGCUUUCACAAUGCCCUGCUGAUAGAUUAUCAAUGUGUGGCCACUAAAUUAAUUAAUGAAUCCGAAGCUUAUUUUCAAAAAUCUUUUUCUAUGGAAUAACGGGUAGAGUUUAGUAUAAAUCCAUGCAUUUGGACACUAUUCCUAAAUAUAAUCAUAUCUCUGUAGAUAUAAAUAGUAUAAAUUUUCUACUUGUAGUUGUUAAAAAUGUAAAUUUAAAAAAUACAGCAUUAAUCAUUGUAAUACUACUAACAUGAUUUUAAUUCAUCUACUUCGGUCAAUCAUUUUUUGUUUGUUUGUUUGUUUCGUUUUUUUGAGAUGGCGUCUCCCUCUGUUGCCCAGGCUGGAAUGCAAUGACACGAUCUUGGCUCACUGCAGCCUCUGCCUCCAGGGUUCAAGCAAUUUUCCUGCCUUGGCCUCCCGAGUACCUGGGAGUACAGGUGCGCACUAGCACGCCCGACUAAUUUUUGUAUUUUUAGUGGAGAUGGGGUUUCACCAUAUUGGUCAGGCUGGUCUCAAACUCCUGACCUCAGGUGAUCCACUUGCCUUGGCUUCCCAAAGUGCUGGGAUUACAGGCGUGAGCCACUGCGCCCGACCCUGAAAUUUUCUUUACCAUGUGCUGAAGCUUAAUCAAAUGAAACAAACUUUUAAAAGUUUAUGGAAGUUAAAAAAGGUAAUCAUUGCAUACUUUUUAAGUAUCAGAUUAUGGUAUACAUACUGUAGACAUGGUACUUCAUGGUAAUGAACAGUCAUUUAUUAUAAAACAUGAGUUUAUAAAGUACAUAUAUCAGUAUUAUUUUUAUAUAACUAUUCUGUCUAAUCAUUGAGGUAUAUUCCAGAGUAUAUUGGGGUAUAUGAAAAAAUAUAGCAAAUUAAAAUAGGGUAUUUUGCAUUUACAUAUGAGCCUGCAAAUCGAAAAUUGGUAAGUUAGUAAGUAAGAUAAUUAGAAGCAUAAAGAAGAGAAUAUUUCUCUUUGGAAGGAUCAGAGAAGUUUGCACAAAGAAGGGUAUUUUUAAUUUAGGCCUUUGAUGGUAAUUAAUACUUUCCCAGGAGGAAUUCACCGCUUUUUGUAGAAAAGUGGCCUGAAGUUGCUAUAUCUGUCUGGAACUGUAGCGUCCAGGUCAGAGAGGACAUAGUCCCACAUACAUAAGGGUAGAUGAGUGUAGAAAGGCAGAGAGAAAUCAAUGCUUUGAGAAUCUUGUAACAAAAAAUAUAGCAAUUAUUUUGAGUCUUUCCUUGUUCAGUCUAAAGUAAAAUGUUAUUUUUAUUUUGUAAUUCGAUCAUCUCCUUUGUUUUACUGAUAAGAGUUUUUAAAGAAGUAAUUAGGGGAUUACAAAAAAAGUGCUUGCCAAAGAAGAUGGUAAAACAAGGGUCAGUAUCCAUAAAAUGAAUAUAAAUCUGUGCAGCUUCAUCUUAGUGUAGCAUUGUAAUUAUUUUUCAUAAUGUGCAUAAAAGUUUGUGAUUUCUUAGAGCAAGUAUUACUAUAUAUAACCUUUAAGCAUUUCCUCUACUUUUAUACCUAUAUUGUUUUUUUUCACAAUUCAUAGCCAUAAUGUAUUAUCAUAUGAAAUAAAAUUUUGUACAGAUUUCUUUUAGAAGCAAGAUUUUUGGAUCUUUCAUGUAAAUACGUAUCCUUCCUCCCUGAUUUUUUAAAGAUCUUAAUUGUAUUAUUUUGCCUAGGUAUUGGAUGAAUUUGCACAAAAAUGCAAUCACAUUGUUUGAUCUUAUGUUCCCCCUUUGGCAUUUCUUGCCAGUAUUCAGACCUCAUAAUAAUUUUUAAAAAUUAGGUUGGCAUGGGAACAACUGCACAACCAUAAAACUCAUAAGAAUUGGCAGGAGAAUCAGGAGCUUGGAUGAUAUUUUGGCAAUUGCUUUUACAAUUGAAGAGGAAACUUCAAAUAAAUAGACUAUUCCAGUAUUUUGAGUAUCAAGAAGGCUUAUUUUAAAAUCCUCUUCUAUUUAGAAUUAAGCCAUGACUGUUCAUGGCUGGAAUAGCUGCCCUGGCAUUGCAAACAUGAUCUGUCUUGAUUAGGACUGCUGGUCUUCAGAACUGGAACUGAGUUUUGUCCCAUCACUGGGUUGCAAUGAUCCAUUUUAAUAAUUAAGGCUUGUGGCCUCAAUUCCCACAAUAUGAAAUUCUUCCUUGCCAAGGUUAAUUUACUCCUCAAAGAUAAACACAUUCUUUUUUUCUCUCCAUCCUUGUAAUAUUGAAAGAAGAUUUACUUUUAAAAUAUUGGAGCAGGCUCACUACUUUUCAAAUUGAAAUCAAAGCUGUCACUGUCCACUUCAUGGAUGACUACAAUAGUCUUCUAACUGGUCUUCUGCUCUUAAAGGUACAGGCCCCCUCUACCUCAUUCGUUCGCCACAUCACAGCCGGAGUUGUCAUUCUAAAAUACAAAUUUAAUGAAGAAUUUUCCAUACUUAAAUCUGAUAAUGGAUUACCAGGCAUAAAUUGUAAUUUUACUAGCAAGGCUGCCAGGCCAUUUGCAAUCUGCCCCGCCCACCUGUCCAAUGUUCCCUCUUUCUUCCUCUUGCCCAACCCACCCUUCCCUCUUUUGUAGACUACCUUCAGCACUCCAGCGUUCACUUUGUUAACAUCGCUUCAUUCUUCCAUUCUUACCUGAAAUACGUUUUCUUCCGGAAAGCCUUGUCUGACCCUCAGUCUGGGAUUGAUGUUGUUUCAGUGUACUUACGGUAAUGUUAUGCUUAUCGCAUUAUGUUUCCUAUUUAUUCCUGAUUUCCACACAUUAGGGAGAAAGUAUAAGGGUAGGUGCCUUGUUCACCCUUUUUCCUGGUGUCAUACUUAUCACUUAGAAGGUACUUAGUAAAUAUUGACUAAAUUGAUGGGAUAAAAAAUGUGAAAAGCAUGAGAUUAUUAAGACACCCAGGUUCUUGCUAUCAACUAACUGAAAAGGCUUGAUCAAAUUGUAAUAAUUUCCCUGAACCUAUCUCCAUUUCCUCAACUGUAAAAUGAAUAUGUCUGAACUAUGUAAAUUCUAUAUCUCAUCUGGUCUAAUAGUCUAGGAUUCUAGUCUAUGAUUAAACCAAAAAAUUACUGAGUACUGUGUUUUCCAACAAAGUAUUGCAUAUAAGAUACAAUGCAAGAGAUAUGAAAGAAAGAAAUUGAUAAUAUAGUUGGGGAAAGAAGGCCUGAAUAUGAAAAGCAAAAAUAAAAUGCAUAAAUCUUUAUAAAAUACAUCAGCCUUUCUAUUUAUCAAGGAAAAAGAACUGAAGAAUGGUAGCACUGGUUGUUUUAUUUUGAGGCAUGCUCCUGGAAAAAACUUAGGAUGCUACAUAAAGCUAGAAAAUAUCUUAAAAUGAGAAGGUAGUGUGAAAAAUGAUAUCAGUGUCAUGACGGUGAGCCCUUUAUAACAGCAGAAGAGCAUUAAAGCUUCACAAAAUGGGAUUUUCCAGUUACAGAGCAGUACCAGAGUGCCAUUGGGUGACAAAUAUCUGCAAGUAAGUUUUGUUGGUAACAUUUUUAGGUCAGUUUACUUACACUAUACAUAUAGACCUUGACUUACUAUGACUCACAUUGAAAGCUCACUGUUUCCAAAUAAUAAUAAUAAGAAUCUUUUCUAUGGCGUAACAUUAAGAGCAGUAUGUCACAUUUGUGCAUUUUGGUUUUCAGUGGACUGAAAGCUUAGUUUUUCCAGACCUCCUGAAUCUCAUGAUACGUCAAAAGGUGAAACUGAACCAACAGGAACUGUUACUGAUAUUCACAACUAAGUUUAUUUAUGAGAGUUUGAUUUUUUUAGUAGUAUACAAAGUCAACAGGAAAAUUUGGAAAGCAUUUACAGUUGGCCUUAAUUGUUAAAUUAGAUAACAUCAAUAAGGCAUCUAACAUGGAAAGAAGCUCAUGCUAGGCAUUCAGUUAAUGUGAUUUCCCAUUCUUUUUAUUCACUGUCUUCUUGGUCUAGACAUUGGGCUAUUAAAAUAUAUACAUCUUCAACCCUCGAUCAUUUGUGCUUAUCCUUUCCCAUGUAAAAUUUUUGUACCCGGAAAGAUGACCUACAAAAAGCAAAACAUUUCAGCUCACAGGAAAUAAGAUAUUUGAAUUCACCUUCUACUACGUAUGAUAGAAGAUAAUUUUCUAGAAUAAAGGGAAAAUGAAAAGCAAUCUUAUCAGAGUCGCACUGUUUCUAAGUCUUGAAUACCCUUGUUUCCCAUUUUGCUUGUCUAAAUUCCUGUCAUACUUUAUGAUCCUAUUCAACAUAGCACAAUUCCCAUCAAGCCUUUCUUGACUUCACUACUUGGAAAAAAUAGAUUUUUUUCUUCAUACCCAUUGCAGAUUAUCUUUGAAUAUUGCAGGGUUUGGGGUUGAGUAUGUCCAUGAUAUGAUAGAGUUGGAGGGGUGGGGGGAUGUCUGGAAUUAUUUUAUCAAACCUCCAAAUUUUAAAGAUGAGAAUACGGUGCCAAAUAAGUUAGUAAUUUAGUCAUUGUCUAUUUUUAUAUGGAAUUUCUGAAAUUUUUGUUUUACAUUUAUGUUGUAUCCCUACACAUCAAUAUAUCUUUCACUUCCAUACUAUCUGGUUUGAAAGGCUCUUCAAAAUGUCUGCAUAUCUAUUUUUUUUUUUUUUUUGGUAACUGCCAAAAAGAAAGCCCAUGUUUGGUCAUGAGUUUUGUUUUUGUUUAUAUUUUUCCAGAACAUACUUCUGUCUUCUGCCUUCAUAUUGGCACUGUUUUCAAAACCAUGCUUUUUGAACUUUAUGAUGUCUUCUUGGUUGAUAUAAUUUCCACUCAUUUGUCCUGCCAGCCCUCUGUGGUUCAGGACCCAAAGCCUCACUUGAGAGUGGCUGUAGUGAAGUAUUUCUUGAUUACUCCAGCAUGAGAUCGUCUCUAACUCUUUAUGCAUUUCUUUUCUGUUUCUUAAAUUCCCCUAUUAUUAUAUAUGCAUAGAAUCAUUCAUUAGCUCUUUCAUGCAGUUAUGUCUUACUUCAACAACUAGACUACUAUAAGCAUCUUAUGGGUGGGUUUUUUGCCUAGCACUAUUGCCUCAUGUGUGUUCAGUGGAUGCUCAAUGAGUCUUCUUGGUACUUGGAAGGACAUCUGCUAUAUGACACAUUUUAUAGCCUUUGAUGUUCCAUUGAGAAGCUUUCCAGAAUAUGUUAAGAAUCGUGUACCUAGAACCAAUAUACUAGCUGUGCCUAAAAGAAAUGUCAUUUGUUGUAGCUUAUUAGAAGAAAUUGGAAAGAGCUCGGAGGAAUAGCAGAAGUAUUGGUAAUUGUGAUGAGGGUGAAUUUUUCUGGACAAUGCUGGUUUUUUAAAACUAUAAAAUAUAACUUCAAAUUAGCCUUUGAAAAGAUGGCUCACCAUAACCAAAGAAGGGUAAGAUGGAAUUGCAUCAUACAUUGAGUGCGAAUACUAAUUAACUGGUUUAUGUUUUCAUUACAAAAUCAUUGUGGCAACGCAAAGAAAAAAUGAAGAAGUGGUUAUUUCAAAGCAUUUAUCGGUUGGCUCACUUAUCCAAUGUGUUCAGAUAAAUGAAAUCUGACAGGAUUCCCAGCAGGGCUGCUGUCAUGGCGUUGAUGCUUUUGAUUAGAUACCAAAGAAGGCCAUCUUCAGAGGCUGUUAUUUGGAUUAAUUCCCAGGGCUGAUAGCUACCACCACAGUACCUUUAAAAAGAAAUACUGUUACAAGGUAUUCAUAUGCAAAUAGGACAGUGAUUUAAUGUUGUAAAAGUUUGAGAGAUUUGGGAAAAUCAACAAAAUGGUCCUUUGAAAAUUUUGUGAUUAUCUAGUAGAAAUAAAAGAGAUAACAGCUUUGUGAAGUAGACCAAAAGCAGGGGCGAUGGGCUGAGCAUGUCAAUUCAUUUUCUCAGGGGGCAUAAUGGAACCUUUAUAAAAGUCCCUAUCUAUUACAUCACAAAACACGAUUUCUACACCUUAAUACCAGAUUGCUAACAUUAUCACUGUAGGGACUGUAACGUCUGGUAAAUUGAAAAUAAAAGAUAAGCUUUUCUUUUUUUAGUCUGAAAGUUAAUGCCACUUUAAAAGAAACAUCUUUGAUAAUGAGCUUACAUUUAAAAAUGAAGAGUUGUAUGGGAUCUAGCACCAUUUCAGGAUUGUGGAGCAGAGAUAAGCAAACUGAUGGCUGCAGACCAAAUCUGACCACACCAGUUUUUGUGAAUAAGUUUUUGAUUGGAAUGAAGCUAUUCAUUUGCUUAUAUAUUGUUUAUGGCUGUUUUUAAUCUAUAAGGGCUAAGUUUGAGCAGUUGCAAUAAAGACCAUAUGGCUUGUGAAACCUAAAA